AGAGAUCAUGGCUCAGGAUGAACGCUAGCGGCAGGCCUAAUACAUGCAAGUCGAACGGUGGUAGCAAUACCAUAGUGGCGCACGGGUGCGUAACGCGUAACCAACCUGCCCGAAUCUGGGGGAUAGCCCGCCGAAAGGCGGAUUAAUACCGCAUAAGACUACAGAAUGGCAUCAUUUAGUAGUUAAAGAUUUAUUGGAUUCGGAUGGGGUUGCGUGCCAUUAGCUAGUUGGCGGGGUAACGGCCCACCAAGGCGACGAUGGCUAGGGGAGCUGAGAGGCUGGUCCCCCACACGGGCACUGAGAUACGGGCCCGACUCCUACGGGAGGCAGCAGUAGGGAAUAUUGGGCAAUGGCCGAGAGGCUGACCCAGCCAUGCCGCGUGCAGGACGAAGGCUUUCUGAGUCGUAAACUGCUUUUGCCAGGGAAGAAAAAAGCGGAUGCGUCCGCUACUGACGGUACCUGGUGAAUAAGCACCGGCUAACUCCGUGCCAGCAGCCGCGGUAAUACGGAGGGUGCAAGCGUUGUCCGGAUUUAUUGGGUUUAAAGGGUGCGUAGGCGGUCGUUUAAGUCUGGGGUGAAAGCCCGUUGCUCAACAACGGAACUGCCCUGGAAACUGGACGACUUGAGUACA
rnacentral:rRNA from 2 species